GACGAACGCUGGCGGCGUGCCUAAUACAUGCAAGUAGAACUCUGAAGAGAGGAGCUUGCUCUUCUUGGAUGAGUUGCGAACGGGUGAGUAACGCGUAGGUAACCUGCCUUGUAGCGGGGGAUAACUAUUGGAAACGAUAGCUAAUACCGCAUAACAAUGGAUGACACAUGUCAUUUAUUUGAAAGGGGCAAUUGCUCCACUACAAGAUGGACCUGCGUUGUAUUAGCUAGUAGGUGAGGUAACGGCUCACCUAGGCGACGAUACAUAGCCGACCUGAGAGGGUGAUCGGCCACACUGGGACUGAGACACGGCCCAGACUCCUACGGGAGGCAGCAGUAGGGAAUCUUCGGCAAUGGGGGCAACCCUGACCGAGCAACGCCGCGUGAGUGAAGAAGGUUUUCGGAUCGUAAAGCUCUGUUGUAAGUCAAGAACGAGUGUGAGAGUGGAAAGUUCACACUGUGACGGUAGCUUACCAGAAAGGGACGGCUAACUACGUGCCAGCAGCCGCGGUAAUACGUAGGUCCCGAGCGUUGUCCGGAUUUAUUGGGCGUAAAGCGAGCGCAGGCGGUUUGAUAAGUCUGAAGUUAAAGGCUGUGGCUCAACCAUAGUUCGCUUUGGAAACUGUCAAACUUGAGUGCAGAAGGGGAGAGUGGAAUUCCAUGUGUAGCGGUGAAAUGCGUAGAUAUAUGGAGGAACACCGGUGGCGAAAGCGGCUCUCUGGUCUGUAACUGACGCUGAGGCUCGAAAGCGUGGGGAGCGAACAGGAUUAGAUACCCUGGUAGUCCACGCCGUAAACGAUGAGUGCUAGGUGUUGGAUCCUUUCCGGGAUUCAGUGCCGCAGCUAACGCAUUAAGCACUCCGCCUGGGGAGUACGACCGCAAGGUUGAAACUCAAAGGAAUUGACGGGGGCCCGCACAAGCGGUGGAGCAUGUGGUUUAAUUCGAAGCAACGCGAAGAACCUUACCAGGUCUUGACAUCCCGAUGCUAUUUCUAGAGAUAGAAAGUUACUUCGGUACAUCGGUGACAGGUGGUGCAUGGUUGUCGUCAGCUCGUGUCGUGAGAUGUUGGGUUAAGUCCCGCAACGAGCGCAACCCCUAUUGUUAGUUGCCAUCAUUCAGUUGGGCACUCUAGCGAGACUGCCGGUAAUAAACCGGAGGAAGGUGGGGAUGACGUCAAAUCAUCAUGCCCCUUAUGACCUGGGCUACACACGUACUACAAUGGUUGGUACAACGAGUUGCGAGUCGGUGACGGCAAGCUAAUCUCUUAAAGCCAAUCUCAGUUCGGAUUGUAGGCUGCAACUCGCCUACAUGAAGUCGGAAUCGCUAGUAAUCGCGGAUCAGCACGCCGCGGUGAAUACGUUCCCGGGCCU
rnacentral:rRNA from 1 species